rnacentral:rRNA from 1 species
CCUACGGGAGGCUGCAGUGGGGAAUAUUGGACAAUGGGGGGAACCCUGAUCCAGCCAUGCCGCGUGUGUGAAGAAGGCCCGCGGGUUGUAAAGCACUUUCAGUGAGGAAGAACGCCUGGUGGUUAAUACCCAUCAGGAAAGACAUCACUCACAGAAGAAGCACCGGCUAACUCCGUGCCAGCAGCCGCGGUAAUACGGAGGGUGCGAGCGUUAAUCGGAAUUACUGGGCGUAAAGCGCGCGUAGGUGGCUUGAUAAGCCGGUUGUGAAAGCCCCGGGCUCAACCUGGGAACGGCAUCCGGAACUGUCAAGCUAGAGUGCAGGAGAGGAAGGUAGAAUUCCCGGUGUAGCGGUGAAAUGCGUAGAGAUCGGGAGGAACACCAGUGGCGAAGGCGGCCUUCUGGACUGACACUGACACUGAGGUGCGAAAGCGUGGGUAGCAAACAGGAUUAGAUACCCUAGUAGUC